CCCUCGAUAGCUCAGUUGGUAGAGCGGAGGACUGUAGAUCCUUAGGUCGCUGGUUCAACUCCAGCGCGAAGGA
rnacentral:tRNA from 1 species